GGUGCACGGUGCAUGGAGAUAGGGAAGAGAGAGUUGGGAAUCCCUGGGAUGUGCGCCCUGUAACGGGAAGGAGCGGGGCAAUCUCCAGUUCUUUCUAGUUCUCUUCUAGGUCAUCCUCUGCCCUGGCUUCAUUCUCACGCUGUAUUAGCUUGCUGGGCUGUGUAACAAAUACCACAGGAGGUAGCUGGGAACAGGGGUGGGAGUGUGGGUCCCCAUCAUAGGGGAGGAGGAGGGAAAGGAAAGGGGGAAAAGGGAGACGGAGAGGGGAAGGGGAGCAGGGAUGGUGGAAGAGAGGGGAAGUGGGGAGAAACAGGAGGAAGAGAUGAGGAAGGGAGAGGGAAGGGAGGGGAGGAAGAGUUCAUUGCUGCAGGUUGGCUGGGCUGAGUGUUUUACAGAUGCCGUGGCUGAAUCCUGACAGCCCCCUGAGAAGUUGGCUUCUCUGUGGCUUAUAGCUAAGCUAAGCCACCUGCUGGAGCUGAGAUUUGGACCCCAGCAGCCUGAAUCCCAGCCCCUGCACACUGCCCCUCUGGGUAGGGGACUUCCAGCAU
rnacentral:lncRNA from 1 species